GAUUGUUUGAAGCAUGCCGAGUGAUGACCUGAACUAGUGUCCUACAUUAGUCAAGACUGUGAAGAAAUUCCUGAAUUCCUGGGAAGAAAAUAUGGACAUAUGGCAAAAAGACUAGAUCUUAGCUUCAACUUGUUAAGUAUUUCCUCAUGAUCGCUGUUACGAAACAAGAGUGAAGGCCUGCAGAAAUAACUUAUCUGAGGACGAGAAGCUUGACUGAAAGGAAGAACCUGCAUUAACUCUGAAGCUAUUGUCUCUUUUGCUCUCUGUUUUGUUGGAAGGUAUCUUCUCUGUUUGACUAAGAAGGCAAGAUUCUCAACACCUAACUUCAGCUGUUAAGAACUUGAUUAUUCUUGCUUACCAUCACUGAGUAAAAAGGGCUUCUGUCUUCCACUAUUCAACAAGCCUGCUGAGUGAUCAUGUUACAAAUAGCUAGCUUGG
rnacentral:lncRNA from 1 species